rnacentral:misc_RNA from 1 species
AAGACUAUAGACCUGCGGAGUACCUGCGGAAGGAUCAUUAUCGUAUUGUAACAAUUGGGGGGGCCACCGUGGGCUGUCGCUGACCCUUUGAAAGGGGGGUCGUGCACGCCCCCAUAGUGUCAUCCUCAUACAAUCCAACUCACCUCUGUGCAUCACCGCGUGGGUUCCUUUCUGGGUCGAGUCAGACUGGCUCAGAAAAAAUGGGCUUGCGUUUUCCAUACAAAUACCCUUAUAAAUCCA